rnacentral:sRNA from 1 species
UGUUUUAAUUGUACUGGUCCUUUUGGCAGCUCAAGCAAGCUGUAAAAAAAAAAUACCAUCCCCGAAAAUUAUCAAGGUGAAGACCACAACGUUAGCUGCGUGAAUGCAGUAAACCAAUGUUGCUCAAAAUAUGCUUUAAAUGCCAAUAUGACUUAAUAUUCACAUCGGAUAAUAAAGGGUAACACUUCUCAAAUGUAAACAAUUGAUGUGCGUACCUUUAUAAAUAUGUAUUAUUAAUUAAUAUCUCAAAAUAAAGCAUAUUUAGUGAGGGUCAAACAUUUAA